UACAGAGGUCUCGAGCGUUAGGCGGAAUCACUGGGCUUAAAGCGUGUGUAGGUGGAUGCCUAAGUACCUUGUGAAAAUCCCACGGCUUAACCGUGGAACUGCUUGGUAUACUGGGUGUCUUGAGUCACUCAGGGGCGAGCGGAACAAAUGGUGGAGCGGUGAAAUGCGUAGAUAUCAUUUGGAACGCCAAUGGUGAAAACAGCUCGCUGGGGGUGCACUGACACUGAGACACGAAAGCCAGGGGAGCGAACGGG
rnacentral:rRNA from 1 species